CAAUAGCGUAUAUUAAAGUUGUUGCAGUUAAAAAGCUCGUAGUUGGAUUUCUGGUAGGAGCGACCGUGCCGAACUUGAUUGUUCGAGUAUUGUGUUGUCUUCAGCCAUCCUCGUGGAGAACUUUUCUAACAUUAACUUGUUGGGAUUGGGACCCGCGUCGUUUACUGUGAAAAAAUUAGAGUGUUUAAAGCAGGCAUUAGCUUGAAUACAUUAGCAUGGAAUAAUAAGAUAGGACUUUGGUACUAUUUUGUUGGUUUGCAUACCAAAUUAAUGAUCAACAGGAACAGUUUGAGGAUAUUCGUAUGAACAUGUCAGAGGUGAAAUUCUUGGAUUUUGACCAGACGAACUACUGCGAAAGCAUUUAUCAAGGAUGUUUUCAUUAA
rnacentral:rRNA from 1 species